GAUGAACGCUGGCGGCGUGCCUAAUACAUGCAAGUCGAACGCUGGAGAUCUAGCUUGCUAGAUCGAAGGAGUGGCGAACGGGUGAGUAAUACAUAAGCAACCUACCCACGAAGACUGGGAUAAUCUCUGGAAACGGGGACUAAUACCGGAUAGGUAAUCGGAAGGCAUCUUCUGGUUAUUAAAGGUUAAAAACACUGGUGGAUGGGCUUAUGGCGCAUUAGUUAGUUGGUGAGGUAACGGCCCACCAAGACGAUGAUGCGUAGCCGGCCUGAGAGGGUGAACGGCCACAUUGGGACUGAGACACGGCCCAGACUCCUACGGGAGGCAGCAGUAGGGAAUUUUCGGCAAUGGGGGCAACCCUGACCGAGCAACGCCGCGUGAGUGAAGACGGCCUUCGGGUUGUAAAGCUCUGUUGUAAGGGAAGAACGGUAGAUAGAGAAUAUCUAAGUGACGGUACCUUACCAGAAAGCCACGGCUAACUACGUGCCAGCAGCCGCGGUAAUACGUAGGUGGCGAGCGUUAUCCGGAAUUAUUGGGCGUAAAGGGUGCGUAGGCGGCCUGUUAAGCAAGUGGUUAAAUUGUUGGGCUCAACCCAAUCCAGCCACUUAAACUGGCAGGCUAGAGUAUUGGAGAGGCAAGUGGAAUUCCAUGUGUAGCGGUAAAAUGCGUAGAUAUAUGGAGGAACACCAGUGGCGAAGGCGGCUUGCUAGCCAAAGACUGACGCUCAUGCACGAAAGCGUGGGGAGCAAAUAGG
rnacentral:rRNA from 1 species